rnacentral:snoRNA from 1 species
ACGACCUUACUUGAACAGGAUCUGUUCUAUAGGCUCGAACCUCUGUUUCCUUGAUUUCUCAAGAGACAGGCCCUUAACCCUGGUUGAUGAAUCAUGACCGUGCGAUUAGAGCGUGAUUAACGGCUACGUUCUUCUUCGGUUGCAUCCGGUGCUGUAGAGGAUCGUUACUCGGCUCCGUUCUACCUUGCCGGGGUGGUCGCACGGCGGUCUGACAGGCC